rnacentral:rRNA from 1 species
GCGUUAAUGGAGUGGCCGAUAUCUGAUUAGCUAGUUGGUGAGGUAAAGGCUCACCAAGGCGACGAUCAGUAGCUGGUCUGAGAGGACGACCAGCCACACUGGAACUGAGACACGGUCCAG